rnacentral:lncRNA from 1 species
AAAGCAGAAACAGACUCUGGCUGUCAAGGCUUCCUCACUACUAAGCAGAGUGAACAUUUCCAGAUGCCAACAUGAGGCAGUGAAAUGCUGUGCUAAGAUCCUGAGUGAUGUUGAGAAAUGAACCCAGAGGCCUUGACUGGGACAAGAACCUGUGCUGAAAUUUUAGUUUCCAUGGUUUCCUGUGGAUGAAGAUGUGCAGGACAUGCUGAGCCUCCAUGUCUUGAAGAAGGAACCCACAGGGAGGACGCAGAAGCUGAAGAUAUUCUGAGUACAGAAUGCAAAUUUUAUGAUCAAAAACUCUGACUUACACAGCUUUGUGGGAGCUGCUUCAAGGGAACCCAAAUUAAGAUUCUGUGUGAAAACAUUCACAAAAACCUACUAA